rnacentral:rRNA from 1 species
UACGAAGGGGGCUAGCGUUGCUCGGAAUCACUGGGCGUAAAGCGCGCGUAGGCGGCUUUGCAAGUCGGGGGUGAAAGCCCGAGGCUCAACCUCGGAACUGCCUUCGAUACUGCAAAUCUCGAGUCCGAGAGAGGUGAGUGGAAUUCCUAGUGUAGAGGUGAAAUUCGUAGAUAUUAGGAAGAACACCAGUGGCGAAGGCGGCUCACUGGCUCGGUACUGACGCUGAGGCGCGAAAGCGUGGGGAGCAAACAGG